AUGGCUUAGUGCUCGAAAGAGAGCCAUAACACAGGGUGCUGCAUGGCUGCUCGCCAGAUCGUGUCGUGAGAUGUUGGGUUAAGUCCCGCAACGAGCGCAACCCUUGUCAUUAGUUGCUACAUUUAGUUGGGCACUCUAAUGAGACUGCCGGUGACAAACCGGAGGAAGGUGGGGAUGACGUCAAGUCCUCAUGGCCCUUAUAGGUGGGGCUACACACGUCAUACAAUGGCUGGUACAGAGGGUUGCCAACCCGCAAGGGGGAGCUAAUCCCAUAAAGCCAGUCGUAGUCCGGAUCGCAGUCUGCAACUCGACUGCGUGAAGUC
rnacentral:rRNA from 1 species